rnacentral:misc_RNA from 1 species
GUGAAUCAUCGAAUUUUUGAACGCACAUUGCGCUUCCUGGUAUUCCGGGAAGUAUGCCUGUUUGAGGGUCAGUAUUAACACAACAUCGGUUUGGUUGCAAUUUGUGACGUUUUCGGAGUUUGGGCUAUCUUAACUUUUUUGGUUAAGGGGCUUAUAAUUGACCUUUUUUGGGCAUUUUUAGAUGUACAUAAAUUUUUUCUUUAUUCGUCUAUUCUUCAUGCCAAAAUCUUAUUAGAUGUGAUCACAACGUGUAGAUUCGU